CUGACCCGCCGGCUGGCUUGCCUCCUCCUUGCCGUCUGGAUCUCGACAGUACUGAAACAGAUCCUCGGUUUGCUGAGCCUGCAGGUGUUGAACGAACAAACAAAUGGCUGCAAGGAAGAAGGUCAGUGCAUGGGGUCGUGCCUUUCCCUGUCUACAGGACAGUGAGUGCCUUCUGCCUGGGUCAUAACAAAGCCUUGUGGAGAGAAGAUUUCAGGGAGUCAAGGCUGGGGACUUCAGUGUGGGGGAGCCUGUCUUCCUGAGGGCAUCCAAAGUCUUCAAGCCACCUGCCCCUUCCAUACUGCUCAUGGCUACCAAGGAAACCCAACAUCCUGAGGUAUGAGAGGGAAAAGGGCUCUGUCUUCCUCGAUGUUUGCAUUUCCAAGAGAUGGCUACAAGGUCCUUGAGAAAAAACAUCCCAGGUCAUAAAAUCAGCGAGAGGCUUAUUUAGCUUUUUAAAAAGAUUCUCAUACACUUCAAAGAAACAGAGACUUAACAAUAACACAUUUUCUAAAAUAAAUCCUCUGAGAACAAAGGACAAGGAGUCGUCUCUUCCUGAAUUUUCGGCAGGGAGAAAUUUGUUUUUCCACUUGUAUUUACCUUUACACUGAUAAUGUUUCAUUUUUGGAUUUGGGACCUGUUUAGUAGGUAUGUUUACCUGUAAAAUUUUGAAUUUUCUGGAAUGUAAUACUUUUAAAACAAAAAGACAAGGGAAAAAAUGUUGAGUAAGUAAAAACAACCUUUGUACAUCACAUGAGGAUUGAAAAUAACAAAGUGAAGCGGUCUGAUUUGGGUACUAGAAAGAUCCUUCUAGCAGCCAUGUGGAAGAUGGGUGGAGAAAGAGGAAGCCUGACACAGGAGGCAGAUGCAGUCAUCAGGAGAGCCACCAGCUGGGGAUCGAGGGGACAGGGGGUCUGGUGAGAAAUCUAGGCAGGUGUGGGAGAGCAGGAAAGAUUCCCAACUGUUUGUCCAGGAUACAGGGUGGAAACCAAAUGAGGAAGCCCCAACAACCAUGGAUGUGGAUCAAGAUUUCAGCCCAGGGGGCAGGUGCAGAUGUGGGUUUGGAGCUCAGAAUGGAGAUUCAGAAACGGCAGGAACUUCUUGGGGAGAAGUGAAGGCCGCCUGCCUGAGUCACCACCCUUGUCCUCUGCAGUUAAGCCUGCCCUGGCCACCAGCCCACCCAAGAAACUGCUUCCCAAGAGGAAGAAUGGAUGGAACUUUUUGAAAUGUGCCUACAUGGUGAUGACCUUCCUGUUCACCUCCUACAACAAGGGGGACUGGUGCUACUGCCACUACUGUAACCCGGACCUGGACAUCAGAAAUGACCCCUGCUGUUCUUUCUAGUGACCCUGCUUCAUCUCAGCCUCCAUGUCCAUCCAUGGCCUCCAUGUCCCAGGUGCUGUCACCUCCUCGGAAAGCUCUCCGUGCCCUGGACUGUCCAUGUGGGGUGAAGAGUGGGGUCUUCUUGCAAAAGGACUGACACCCUCUGCCUGGGGCUGGCGGGAAGGUGCCUCUGGGGGUCCAGAGAACUUAGUGUCUGCAGGGGUGUCCCCUGCUCUUCCCCACAGCCUUGUCACAGCCCUCCCCAGUUUCUGUAAUAAAAUGUACACUUGCUGAAGCA